rnacentral:lncRNA from 1 species
UAUAUUGUUACACAAUAACAGGAGAGACUAACAGAUUAAGCAAAAUCCUUCCAGUUGGUAUCAGGACACUUAAGCUGAGGAGAUGGCACUAGAGAAGAGUUAAGAACGCAAGAGCCAGGCUCCAAGUUCUUAAUCAUUUCACUACAUUGCACAACAAAAUGUUUCAAUUAUAGUGUAUGAUUAUUAUAUUAGAGUUUAAAACAGAACAGACACUUAAAUUCUUGAGUCUCAGGCAGAUAGACAAUACUUCUAAAAGUUACAUGAGAACAAAAACCCCAAAACUGUAUCAAAGAAAUCAGUAAACACUUUGCUUUUGUUCAGUGUUCCAUAAUGGAUUACGAUGGAUCAACGCACUGGAUAAAGCUAGCUAUACUUGUU